UCGAUUCUGACAGGGCCAGGGUCCGUGG
rnacentral:sRNA from 1 species